rnacentral:tRNA from 1 species
GGGCCUUUAGCUCAAUGGUUAGAGCAGUCGGCUCAUAACCGAUUGGUUGCCGGUUCAAGUCCGGCAGGGCCCACCA